GCCUGGGUGGCUCAGUUGGUUGAGCGACCGACUUCAGCUCAGGUCAUGAUCUCGCAGUUUGUGAGUUCGAGCCCCACAUCAGGCU
rnacentral:tRNA from 1 species